CACGUAGGGGGCGAGCGUUGUCCGGAUUUAUUGGGCGUAAAGAGCUCGUAGGCGGCUCAGUAAGUCAGGUGUGAAAACUCCAGGCUCAACCUGGAGACGCCACCUGAUACUGCUGUGGCUAGAGUCCGGUAGGGGAGCAUGGAAUUCCUGGUGUAGCGGUGAAAUGCGCAGAUAUCAGGAGGAACACCGGUGGCGAAGGCGGGUCUCUGGGCCGUAGCUGACGCUGAGGAGCGAAAGCGUGGGGAGCGAUCCGG
rnacentral:rRNA from 1 species